UUGGAGGGCAAGUCUGGUGCCAGCAGCCGCGGUAAUUCCAGCUCCAAUAGCGUAUAUUAAAGUUGCUGCAGUUAAAAAGCUCAUAGUUGAAUUUCGGGACCAUCAUGUCGGUCGUGCCUCGGUACGUACUGGUAUUGUUGGUUUCUCCCUUCUGACGAACCAUGAUGUCAUUUAUUUGGUGUUGUGGGGAAUCAGGACUGUUACUUUGAAAAAAUUAGAGUGUUUAAAGCAGGCUCACGCUUGAAUACAUUAGCAUGGAAUAAUGAAAUAGGACGUUUGAUUCUAUUUUGUUGGUUUCUAGGAUCGACGUAAUGAUUAAUAGGGAUAGUUGGGGGCAUUAGUAUUCAAUUGUCAGAGGUGAAAUUCUUGGAUUUAUUGAAGACUAACUACUGCGAAAGCAUUUGCCAAGGAUGUUUUCAUUAAUCAAGAACGAAAGUUAGGGGAUCGAAGACGAUCAGAUACCGUCGUAGUCUUAACCAUAAACUAUGCCGACUAGGGAUCGGAUGAUGUUAAUUUUUUAAUGACUCAUUCGGCGCCUUACGGGAAAC
rnacentral:rRNA from 1 species